AGCGACUGUGCAGGUUACCGCGGCUGCUGGCACGGAGUUAGCCGGUGCUUCUUCUGUGAGUGAUGUCCUUCCUGCCGGCUAUUAACCCGCAGGCCUUCUUCCUCACUGAAAGUGCUUUACAACCCGAAGGCCUUCUUCACACACGCGGCAUGGCUGGAUCAGGGUUGCCCCCAUUGUCCAAUAUUCCCCACUGCUGCCUCCCGUAGGAGUCUGGGCCGUGUCUCAGUCCCAGUGUGGCUGAUCAUCCUCUCAGACCAGCUACGGAUCGUCGCCUUGGUGAGCCGUUACCUCACCAACCAGCUAAUCCGACAUAGGCUCAUCCGAUAGCGCGAGGCCCGAAGGUCCCCCGCUUUCCCCCGUAGGGCGUAUGCGGUAUUAGCCUGGGUUUCCCCAGGUUAUCCCCCACUACCGGGCAGAUUCCUAUGCAUUACUCACCCGUCCGCCGCUCGCCACCAGGGAGCAAGCUCCCCGUGCUGCCGCUCGACUUGCAUGUGUU
rnacentral:rRNA from 1 species